CCCACUGAUCUACUCCUAAUCACCCAGCUGCAUUUUGAACCACCACACACUAUCUCUACCAUUUCAUACGGAUAUCGUAACAAAAUUGGAAAAACCCACCGUAAAGAAACCAAUCUUUAUGCCACAAGGCAGAAGACAAUUCGGAGGAUGACUUGCAGAGUUCUAACCACGGCCUUUCCUGGUUGUUGGGCUCCUCCGAAGGUUCCGAGUUAUUGCUCAUGUCCAUGGAGAAAUCGGAUUCAAUGUUCAUCUUCUUCAAGUUCAGACGUCCCUCUUGCUGUUAGCUUCGACUUUUCAUCCUCCAUAGAAAAGCCUGAGAAUAAUGUGCCUAUCACUGGUGGAGCUUAUGAUUUCAAGAAGGCAACAAUUUCUCUUACAAAAACGUUGUUGUCUUCACCAAAGAAGGUGACGAUUGUAAGGCAUGGCCUUAGCUCUUGGAACGAAGAAAGCAGAGUUCAGGGAAGUUCAGACCUAUCCAUCCUAACAGAAACUGGAGUGAAUCAAGCAGAAAGAUGCAGGAAAGCCUUGGCAAAUAUAUCCUUUGACCAAUGUUUCUCUAGUCCAAUAUCUCGUGCCAAGUCAACUGCUGAAAUUUUAUGGCGUGGGAAGGAAGAGCCGAUAGUUUUUCUUGAUUCAUUGAAGGAGGGCCAUCUGUUUUAUCUUGAAGGCAUGAGAAAUGAGGAUGCUAGGCAAAUAUAUCCGAAGGAAUACACAACAUGGAGAGAAGAUCCUUCCAAUUUUAGUAUAAACGGUGUCUACCCUCUCAGAAUGCUAUGGGAAACAGCAAACGAAGCUUGGAAGGAAAUUUUGUUUACUCCUGGUGAUCAUUUUCUGGUUGUAACUCAUAAAUCAUUGUUGAGGGCGCUGAUCUGCACGGCUCUUGGAUUGGGCCCUGAGAGAUUCCGUGCCAUCGAUGUAAAUAAUGGUGGAAUAUCAGUGUUUAACUUCAACAAGCGAGGAGAAGCCAUGCUUCAAUCCUUGAACAUGACAGCUCAUAUGUACAGCGAUUACGUUUAUCUGUACUGAAUACCUCUGGUAUUUUUAAUCUGGCGAUGCUAGUGGAACCGGAACAAAUAACUCGCACAAAAGAGGUCAUUUGUGGAGAUGGUGAGUUCAUCUUUGUUGUUACUGCAGAGUUUUAACUGUGACGUUUGUUCCAAAGAAGAACAAGAUUGUAAGGUUUUCUUUCGUCGGGCAACCACUUAUCUCUUCAGCAUCGAUAUUUGCAUUCUGAUCUUUGAGACCAAUAUAACUCCAAUGCCUCAGACACUGAAUGUAGCGAACAAAACCAAAUCAAGUCUUGUGUGUCCUAAUCAAUUGGAGCAACUUUGUCACUUUGCUUCGUCAAUCGCUAAAGUUUCAGUUAAACAUAGAAAUUCGUAUUCCUUUUGACCGCGUCAAUUUGGGUAGAAUUGCAGCGUAGCAAGGCAUCAGGAAACUUUCCCCUGGCCCAAAGGCGGUUUUGUUUUCCUGCAAGUCUCAUCUGAUCACCUCAUCCCAUCAUGUAAACCAUAUAGAUACAGAUGGUCCACACGUAAAAAUCGGUCUCUGUAUUGAACUUGAGAGAACCCUAAUCUAAAAGCUGACUUUAAA